UACGAAGGGGGCUAGCGUUGCUCGGAAUGACUGGGCGUAAAGGGCGCGUAGGCGGCUUGCACCGUCAGAUGUGAAAUUCCUGGGCUUAACCUGGGGGCUGCAUUUGAUACGUGUGGGCUUGAGUGCGGAAGAGGGUCGUGGAAUUCCCAGUGUAGAGGUGAAAUUCGUAGAUAUUGGGAAGAACACCAGUGGCGAAGGCGACUCACUGGACAUGUAUUGACGCUGAGGUGCGAAAGCGUGGGGAGCAAACAGG
rnacentral:rRNA from 1 species